GAUCUCAGUUAACAUAACGUCAAUCAGGUUCAAGCUAAGGGAGAUUGAUAUUUACUAGAUUAUAACGACAGAUAUGAAGAUCGCCUGGUAUGACUUAUUGAAUUGGUAGCAGUCCCUCUUCCUCGAUCUAAUCCUGCUUCACCUUGUCUUUGGAUGACCUAUAGUAGCUCGUACACAACCGACCUAUUUCAGCCAACGAGAGGACAAGCACCUGCUCCACGGACUCCAGUACCUCAGCCACGGACGAUCUAUCAUAGCUCAUUCAUUGUCAAGCUAAUUUCCAUAUUAGAUACGGCCC
rnacentral:lncRNA from 1 species